ACGGAUCUUUAAAAAUUUGGAAUGUUUUAAAUUUUACUCUUCACUAUUCUCUCUCGCAUCCGGAAGGAGUUGUUGUUUCUGUUUGGCAUCCUUCGCUUUCCUUUGUCUUCACCGCGUGUCUGGAUGCCAUUGCACGUUGCUGGGAUGCACGUGGUGGCUGCUGCCUAUUAGAAUUUCACGGACAUUCUGAUGCUAUUUUGGCUUUGAACUAUUCUGACGGCCUUUUAAUGACUUCUUCAGAUGAUCACUCGCUAAAACUUUUCUCU